rnacentral:rRNA from 1 species
AUUGAACGCUGGCGGCAGGCCUAACACAUGCAAGUCGAGCGGAUGAAGAGAGCUUGCUCCUGGAUUCAGCGGCGGACGGGUGAGUAAUGCCUAGGAAUCUGCCUGGUAGUGGGGGAUAACGUCCGGAAACGGGCGCUAAUACCGCAUACGUCCUGAGGGAGAAAGUGGGGGAUCUUCGGACCUCACGCUAUCAGAUGAGCCUAGGUCGGAUUAGCUAGUUGGUGGGGUAAAGGCCUACCAAGGCGACGAUCCGUAACUGGUCUGAGAGGAUGAUCAGUCACACUGGAACUGAGACACGGUCCAGACUCCUACGGGAGGCAGCAGUGGGGAAUAUUGGACAAUGGGCGAAAGCCUGAUCCAGCCAUGCCGCGUGUGUGAAGAAGGUCUUCGGAUUGUAAAGCACUUUAAUUUGGGAGGAAGGGCAGUAAGUUAAUACCUUGCUGUUUUGACGGUACCAACAGAAUAAGCACCGGCUAACUUCGUG